GACGAACGCUGGCGGCGUGCUUAACACAUGCAAGUCGAACGGUAAGGCCCUUCGGGGUACACGAGUGGCGAACGGGUGCGUAACACGUGGGUGAUCUGCCCUGCACUUCGGGAUAAGCCUGGGAAACUGGGUCUAAUACCGGAUAGGACCACUGCCUGCAUGGGUGGUGGUGGAAAGCUUUUGCGGUGUGGGAUGGGCCCGCGGCCUAUCAGCUUGUUGGUGGGGUGAUGGCCUACCAAGGCGACGACGGGUAGCCGGCCUGGGAGGGUGACCGGCCACACUGGGACUGAGAGACGGCCCGGACUCCUACGGGAGGCGGCAGUGGGGAAUAUUGCACAAGGGGCGCAAGCCUGAUGCAGCGACGCCGCGGGAGGGAUGACGGCCUUCGGGUUGUAAACCUCUUUCAGCACCGACGAAGCGCAAGUGACGGUAGGUGCAGAAGAAGGACCGGCCAACUACGUGCCAGCCGCCGCAGUAA
rnacentral:rRNA from 1 species